rfam:Camelus ferus unplaced genomic scaffold scaffold1211, whole genome shotgun sequence.
GAGGGUGUAGCUUAGUAGUAGAGUGUGUGCUUAGCAUGCACGAGGUCUUGGGUUCAAACCCCAGUACCUCCA